rnacentral:rRNA from 1 species
CCUACGGGAGGCAGCAGUAGGGAAUCUUUCACAAUGGGCGAAAGCCUGAUGGAGCAACGCCGCGUGCAGGAUGAAGGCCUUCGGGUUGUAAACUGCUUUUAUAAGCGAGAAAUAUGAUGGUAACUUAUGAAUAAGGAUCGGCUAACUACGUGCCAGCAGCCGCGGUAAUACGAAGGGUGCGAGCGUUGUUCGGAAUUACUGGGCGUAAAGGGAGUGUAGGCGGAUAUGUAAGAUAGCGGUGAAAUGCCGGGGCUCAACCCCGGAACUGCCAUUAUGACUAUGUAUCUAGAGUAAUGGAGAGGAUAGCGGAAUACCCAGUGUAGAGGUGAAAUUCGUAGAUAUUGGGUAGAACACCGGUGGCGAAGGCGGCUAUCUGGCCAUUUACUGACGCUGAGGCUCGAAAGCAUGGGGAUCAAACAGGAUUAGAUACCCGGGUAGUC